UGGGGGAUAUUGCACAAUGGACGAAAGUCUGAUGCAGCAACGCCGCGUGAGGGAAGACGGUCUUCGGAUUGUAAACCUUUAACUUUGGGGAAGAAAAAAAUGACGGUACCCAAAGGGGCAGCCACGGCUAACUACGUGCCAGCAGCCGCGGUAAUACGUAGGUGGCAAGCGUUGUCCGGAAUUACUGGGUGUAAAGGGAGCGCAGGCGGGGAGGCAAGUCAGCUGUGAAAUACACGGGCUUAACCCGUGAAUUGCAGUUGAAACUGCUUUUCUUGAGUGGAGUAGAGGUAGGCGGAAUUCCGAGUGUAGCGGUGAAAUGCGUAGAUAUUCGGAGGAACACCAGUGGCGAAGGCGGCCUACUGGGCUCUAACUGACGCUGAGGCUCGAAAGUGUGGGGAGCAAACA
rnacentral:rRNA from 1 species